GAUGAGGUCCAGGGUACAGCCACAGAAGAGGAGAGGAGCAAGUUUAAGCAGUUUAUCUGACUUGGGAUACAGUGGUCAACAGCUAAACCCAGUGGGGAAGACAUUCAGUAAACAGAUGAGCAUCUGGUGGAUAUGGAUAUAUACAUAUAUAUAUAUAUAUGUUUUCCUCCAUGUUUUUGUAACCCACACCUUUACUUUCCAUAUACCUUAAUAUCUCACAUUCUCUCUCCUUCAGUGUUAUUUAACAUUUCAAAAUUAAGUUUCAUGACUAAAAUUAAUCAAAGCAAUGGGAGUUUUAGAAGGCAAGAAAUUUAUUCAGAUGAUGUAAUAACCAUGUCAUUGUUAAGCCUUAACUUUUCUUUCUUGGGUGGUGCAGAAGAUGCAGCAAAAUACAAGCUGCUUUGACAAUCCUCUUGCAGUUUUUUCUCUGUAGAUAGUUAUACCAAAAAAACAAAAAAGAGAGAGAAAAGCUUUAAGCUGUAAGGAGAAAGUAGAAUAACGCAAUAGAUUAAAGUCUUCUUAUCUGUUUAUAGACAUUGUACAUCCCAAUUUCUCUAGAAUAUUUAUCUUGAAGUCUCUGGUCAAAACAAUCAGACUUUGAAUUCCACCAGCUCCACGUGAAGUUCUCCCAGUGAGGAUUUAACAUCAUUGUGAAACACAUUCUUCCCAAAAGCUGCCAAAGCAGAUUCAUCUCAACUAAUAGCAAAGAAGGAUGAGCUGAUGUUUUUUAAAACCUGACAUUUGAUGUGCUCAGUCAAUCAGUUCAGACACAGAAGUAGAUGAAGAAAUUCUGGAGUUCAGUUUCCUCUCAAAGUUGUGGCAGUACCCGGAAUGCAAGAUUUCAUAAGUUUCUCCAUUUUUUUCUCCUUUGCAAUUAAAAGGGCUAUUUAAUAAUAAGCUUUCAUGGCCUUCGAAGAUUCCUGUUAAUACUCCCAUACUGUCCAAUCUUAAAACUGCAGAGAAUUGUGCUUUGCAGAACACUCCACUGUUGUUAGUGGCACACAUUUAACAAUGUUUGGCAUGUGUCACUGCCCAUCACUUUCAGAUAAGUGAAAAAGCUGACCCUAUCUUCUGUGUCAUACAUGACUAUAUACUUAAUAUAAGCCUCAAACAUUUUUUUGGCUGCCAUCUUUAGCUACCUCAAAGGAGAAAAGAGAAAAACAAGCAGUAAUGAUGCUGGAAGCAUCUGGUCCCUUUUGCAGAGCGACAAAGAUUUUAUUGCGCUAUAGUGGCAGCAGUGGGUGGCCAGGCAAUACAGGCAUCCAGUUAUGUCUGAGCCUCAAUAAGUGAAAUGUUUUUUCAUUUUCUUUUUAUACACCUGUCUGCCGCCUAAAACCUGACACCAUUUAAUGGUGCCCUCACUCAGUCUAAAUGAUCUUACUUUCAUAAUCCUCUGAUUCUAGCUUGAAGAGCCAAGGAGAACUCUAACUCAUGGGAUGGAUAAAAUGGAAGAUGUAAAUAAGUAAAAGUUUUUGGAGCUAAAAAGCCUCUUCUUAUACAAAACUAAACUUUAAAAACAUUGACCUCAAAACAAUAUAACUGUCCUGGAUAUGCAACAGAAAUAGCAGUAUAAAUGGCACCAUAUCCACCACCACCAUCUCUGGGUACCCCACCUGUCAUACACCUCAUUGAUUAUAGGCUUUACUCUGAAUGCUUCUUAUUCUACUUUCUCUGUGUUCCUACCAGCCAAGGAAUUCUUUCCAAUUGAUUUUCUAUAUUAAGAAAAAUUAACUAUUUUUUCUUUUUAAUAUUGUAAUACUAAAUCUGAUUUUAUAAACUGUAACUCUCCCCAUACCCUGCAAUGCUGAUAUAAUGUGUGUGUGUGUAGGGGGGCGAGAAUGCCGUUCUUUCCUGUUCCUGAAAAUCACUGACCUAUUCCUUGAGCCCAUGAGUAACAACUCCCUGAAACAGCAUAGUCCCUAAAACCAAAAAACCUUGGUCACCUCCAAAGCAGAUUAAAAUUUUGUUGAAUUAGUAGCUGACAAGAGAGAACUUAAUGUAACCAGAACUGUGCAGUGGAUAAUGUAUAGCAUAUUAAAUAAACCUUUAUACAAAAAUA